GGUGAACGCUGGCGGCGUGCCUAAUACAUGCAAGUCGAGCGAACGGACGAGAAGCUUGCUUCUCUGAUGUUAGCGGCGGACGGGUGAGUAACACGUGGAUAACCUACCUAUAAGACUGGGAUAACUUCGGGAAACCGGAGCUAAUACCGGAUAAUAUUUUGAACCGCAUGGUUCAAAAGUGAAAGACGGUCUUGCUGUCACUUAUAGAUGGAUCCGCGCUGCAUUAGCUAGUUGGUAAGGUAACGGCUUACCAAGGCAACGAUGCAUAGCCGACCUGAGAGGGUGAUCGGCUACACUGGAACUGAGACACGGUCCAGACUCCUACGGGAGGCAGCAGUAGGGAAUCUUCCGCAAUGGGCGAAAGCCUGACGGAGCAACGCCGCGUGAGUGAUGAAGGUCUUCGGAUCGUAAAACUCUGUUAUUAGGGAAGAACAUAUGUGUAAGUAACUGUGCACAUCUUGACGGUACCUAAUCAGAAAGCCACGGCUAACUACGUG
rnacentral:rRNA from 1 species